rnacentral:rRNA from 1 species
GACGAACGCUGGCGGCGUGCCUAAUACAUGCAAGUCGAACGCUUUCGAACAGGUGAGUAACGCGUAGGUACCUGCCUCAUAGCGGGGGAUAACUCUUUUAAACGAUAGCUAUUACCGCAUACUGUGAGCUGUCCCUGCGGUGUAUUAGCUAGUUGGUGAGGGAAAGUGCCACCAAGGCGACGAUACAUAGCCGGCCUGAGAGGUGGAACGGCCACACUGGGACUGAGACACGGCCCAGACUCCUACGGGAGGCAGCAGUGGGGAAUCUUCCGCAAUGGACGGAAGUCUGACCGAGCAACGCCGCGGGAGUGAUGAAGGUUUUCGGGUCGUAAAGCUCUGUUGUUAGAGAAGCGGUAACGAACCAGAAAGGGACGGCUAACUACGUGCCAGCAGCCGCGGUAAUUC